UGGGGAAUAUUGGACAAUGGGGGAAACCCUGAUCCAGCAAUGCCGCGUGAGUGAAGAAGGCCUUCGGGUUGUAAAACUCUUUUAUAGAUGAAGAUAAUGACGGUAAUCUAUGAAUAAGCUCCGGCUAACUUCGUGCCAGCAGCCGCGGUAAUACGAAGGGAGCUAGCGUUGUUCGGAAUAACUGGGCGUAAAGGGUGCGUAGGCGGCCUGGUAAGUUUGAUGUGAAAGUCCUGGGCUCAACCUGGGGACUGCAUUGGAUACUGCUAGGCUAGAGUAUUGAAGGGGAUGAUGGAAUUAUGCAUGGAGAGGUGGAAUUCAUAGAUAUGCAUAGGAACACCGGUGGCGAAGGCGAUCAUCUGGACAAUAACUGACGCUGAGGCACGAAAGCGUGGGGAGCAAACAGG
rnacentral:rRNA from 1 species